rnacentral:rRNA from 1 species
CACACCGCCCGUCACAUCACGAAAUGGGGGGUUGUACUAGAAGUCUGCGCCCUAACCCGCAAGGGGAGGAGCGGCCCAAGGUAUGACUCAUGAUUGGGGUG